CCUGGCUCAGGAUGAACGCUAGCGACAGGCCUAACACAUGCAAGUCGAGGGGCAGCACAAGGAGCAAUCUGAGGUGGCGACCGGCGCACGGGUGAGUAACACGUAUGCAACCUGCCUGUAAGCGGGGAAUAACCCGUUGAAAGACGGACUAAUACCGCAUAAUACUAAAUUACUGCAUGGUAAUUUAUUUAAACAUUUAUGGCUUACAGAUGGGCAUGCGCAUGAUUAGCUAGUUGGAGAGGUAACGGCUCCCCAAGGCAACGAUCAUUAGGGGUUCUGAGAGGAAGGUCCCCCCACACUGGUACUGAGACACGGACCAGACUCCUACGGGAGGCAGCAGUGAGGAAUAUUGGUCAAUGGACGAGAGUCUGAACCAGCCAAAUCGCGUGCAGGAAGAAUGUCCUAUGGAUUGUAAACUGCUUUUGCAGGGGAAUAAAGUGCAUCACGUGUGAUGUUUUGUAUGUACUCUGCGAAUAAGGAUCGGCUAACUCCGUGCCAGCCGCGGC
rnacentral:rRNA from 1 species